CAGGUUGUCUGGGUUCGAGUCUCUGACAACUUAGGUCUGGGUUUGAGUCCCAGUCCAGAGUUUGCGCAGGAUCCAGCUUGUCUGGGUUUGAGUUCCAGUCUGGGUUUGAGUCCCAGUUCAAGUGUUCAAGUCCCUGGAGAGGUGACCCAGUGUGAAUCAAAGCUUACUGAAAGACUCCACUUCAACUCCAGUGGCUAGGACCAUUCAAGACUAUCCUGGUGAGCCCUACUGCUGUUUGGGUCAGGGAACUUCCCACUUAGAUUCAUCAUACCAGGAUCAAGAGGAGCACCGCUCGGGAACCUGACCUGGUGAAGGGUUCCCCAGAUGCAGACAACGUCGGACUUCGAGGGAGCCACACACGUCAACCCCACCGUGAACCGGGUGAGCCAGAAGCAGACGACCGCCGUGCCCAGGACACAUGGACUGCUAUCCCCUUGGGCAACCUGAGGCUAAAGCUCGAGAAGAAGUGUACUGGUGCCCAUUCUCCAAGGAAUGGCAGCGAAUAGUCGUUUGGGGAAUUGGUGAACUCAUUUGUGUAUCGUUUGUUGUUUUUCUUUGUGGUGGUUAAAUUAACUAGGGGAUAUAAAUAUAAUGUCUUGAUUCGCUUUGCUCAUGAAAUGAAAGCCCGUAUGCCAGCACUGAAUAAUAUUUCAUGUUAGGUAUGGUCUUCCCAUGAUCCCCAUACCUCUUAGCCCUAUGAAUAUGACAUGGACUUCUUCACAGAAGGACUCCUCAGGCUUGCAGAACCUAACCUAGGCAGAUUCAGGAAUCCCGAUUAAUAGAUACCUUACGGUGUGGGAGCGACUUGGUGAGUGGUGCUUCCUGGGCUCAGGAAAGGUGCCUGUAGGAGUUAGCAAUUGUAAAGCCUAUUUAAUAAAACCCAUUUUGGUGAAAGCCGUGGCCCUAAUUGUACUCUUGUACAAGGGUCACCCCGGCCUGGAAGGUCCUGGUAUGUUUUCUCUGCUAAUUUUUGCAGCUUGUUUAAUAGGUGGGUAUUGGAUAAACCUCAUAGGUUUACCAUUAUACGUUGUGUUGUAGCACCAGACCUAUCGCACACUAAUUACACCGUGGUGCUGGAGCGUUCGGAGAUCAUUCACAUACACUGUAUAAAAAGGCAUUCUUUUAAUUCUUCGGGUGCUGAGUACUCUGUGUGUCAUUGUAUUGAUAAUGCUACUAAUAGUUUUUAUGGGCUCUCUGCCUGGACUGGAUGGUAUUACAAAUCUCAAUAUACUGCAUUUGUUAUAUCUAACCCUUGUUUGGAGUCUAUUGGGUUUGUGGAGAAAAGGCUUAUUUAAGCUUGCCUAUCUCCUGGAAGGGGUCAUGCUAUUUGGCCUGGUUAGAACCCCCUGUCCUAUACCGAGAUCACCUUCCUUCUGGACGUUUAAGAAAUGUGCGAGAUGCCAGGGAAGAUGUUGCCACGUCUCGACUCCUUACCUGGAAAGCACUUAAAGAUUGGACAGAAACUUGUGCAGCACUUUUCUUUGCAUGUGGAGAUGCUACUUACCGUAUAGGGGAAGAUAUAAUGAGAUUCCAAGGAGUGUUAGAAACAAUGGCUAAUAACACUGGUGAAGCCUUCAUUGAUCUCGCCACCGAGCAAAAACAGCUUAGACAAAUGGUUCUUCAAAAUAGAAUGGCUUUGGAUAUUUUGUUAGCCUCACAAGGAGGGACAUGUGCCUUAAUAGGACAAGAAUGUUGUGUAUAUAUUCCUGAUGUUUAUAAUACUACAUGGGAGAGAGCAAAACAUUUUGAAAAAAUUGCAAGGGAUCAUGGAGGAAAGCGACCCAGCUGGAACUCCUGGUGGAGUGAUUUAUUUAGCUGGUUGCCUCAUGUAGGUGGAUGGCUACAUAAUCUGCUUAAAAGUGCUGUUGUUAUUAUUUGUGGAUUUUUGUUGCUUUAUGUAAUCAUAAGGUGUGGAUGCUCAACACUGUGUGGGAGCUCAACUAUGUAAAGAAGCCCCCAGGGUUAAAAGGCCCGGCAGGUAGUAAACCCCCGAUAUAUAUAAAUGAAUAUGUGUCCCAAGAAUCCCCUUAUGGUCCUCUAGGGACAAAAGGGGGAUUGUUAGGCCUGAAUAAAGAUAUAGCAGA